AUUGAACGCUGGCGGCAUGCUUUACACAUGCAAGUCGAACGGUAACAGGUUAAGCUGACGAGUGGCGAACGGGUGAGUAAUGCAUCGGAACGUGCCCGGUCGUGGGGGAUAACGCAGCGAAAGCUGCGCUAAUACCGCAUACGAUCUGAGGAUGAAAGCGGGGGACCGUAAGGCCUCGCGCGAUCGGAGCGGCCGAUGUCAGAUUAGGUAGUUGGUGGGGUAAAGGCUCACCAAGCCGACGAUCUGUAGCUGGUCUGAGAGGACGACCAGCCACACUGGGACUGAGACACGGCCCAGACUCCUACGGGAGGCAGCAGUGGGGAAUUUUGGACAAUGGGCGAAAGCCUGAUCCAGCAAUGCCGCGUGCAGGAAGAAGGCCUUCGGGUUGUAAACUGCUUUUGUACGGAGCGAAAAGGCUUCCUCUAAUACAGGGAGCUCAUGACGGUACCGUAAGAAUAAGCACCGGCUAACUACGUG
rnacentral:rRNA from 1 species